UUGUAGCUAUUUAAGCUGACUUGACUCCUUACCUUAUAGGAGCCUGGUGUGCAGUGGCUGCUAACAGCAACACCCUUGGUUAUGUACCUAGAAUGUUGCUUGUUUGGGUUACCCUGAGAGUCUGCUGGAAAUAGGG
ensembl:snoRNA SNORA70 Small nucleolar RNA SNORA70